rnacentral:lncRNA from 1 species
AUCAUAUAUAUAUAUAUAUAUAUAUAUAUAUAUAUAUAUAUAUGUUAUAUAGUGUAACCUAGAUGUUUUUAGAUUUCUAAAUAUGUUCAAGUUGAAUUAUGUCACAUCAUGCAUCCUGGUAAUAGCAAAUUCUGGGUUCAAGAGGACUUGCCUAAACAGCCUCUGAUUCUAUGUGAAUCCAUCAGACUGUACAUUUUGGGAUCUUGUUCAUGCAUCUUCACCGGCAGCUGGAGCAUCUCCACCCUUGGUGUUUCUGGUGUAAAUUACUUGAGCUCUGUGGUUUGAAACCAGUUUAAUAAGUCCUUUACUGAGGAGCUCCUGAAGGGCUGCCCUGGCCAGAGAACCUUGAAUCUUCAGUCUCUCAGAGACAACAGCUGGAGUUAUAAGCUUAUAGUUGGGAACCUCCCUGUCGCUUUGUCAAACAACACCAGAUUAUUGACCUUGUCUCGAACUUUGCUUUUGGACCACUUCUUCUUUUUGGCCUUGCCCCCAGAUUUGUUCACUGGAUCUUCGUCCUUUUUGGCUGACUUUCCGGCAUCUUUCUUCUUGUCGUCCUUGGGUGGCAUAGCGAAGCUCAGAGAGCAACAGCCACCCCUGCAGCCUCACUAAGAUGUCGGAUAAAAAAAAAAAAAAGAAAAUAAUAAUCUUUAUGUUAGAUUUUGAGAUUACAUGAGUAAUGUAUCCUAUCCCCAACAACAUUUCAUCAAUGGAUGAAGUAUCCACUGAUUAACCUUGAGUAAACUAGUUGUUAAAUGAUGGAGGAAAAAUAGUGUUGUUUUUUUUUCCUCCUAAUUUGAUCAUUCUUCUAUACUUUUUGGUUAGCCUUCUUUUUUGAAGAGCUUUUUCUCUCUUGCUACCUUCCAUUUUUGUUAUUGCUACAUACAUGAAAAUAUCUUUUAUUUAAUGUGUUAUAAUCUACUAUGUUCUUUUUGCUCAAAAUGUACAAAUUUGGCCAGUGGGAAUCACUUCAAGCUGCUCUUGUGCCACUUUGCCAUGUCCUCAUUAAUCUUUGAGUACUUGCUUGCUUUCCGGCACUAAAAUUUCAGGCUCACCCAGUACUUUUCUUGGAAUCAGCCAUCCUCCAAGGAGCCCUGAAGGGGCAAAAUUCAGGGUUAGAUGUGUUCACUGUUAUGGACUAUCAUUGGCUCCCUUUCAGUGGUAAGAAUGGGAAGUAGGCAUUUCUUAAAUGCCUCAAAUUCAUACUGAAACUUCCAAUUCUAAUCCAGUAUCACUACCUUUUCCUUACCUUCCUCAUUUCAUAUUUUUAAUAUUUUGAUUUUCCUCUUUACAAUAAUAAUACUGAUUCCCAACUACAUCAACAUAUUUUUAAUUUAGAUCCACCAAAACAUAGUUUUAGAAUUAUUAUAUCCAUAACCACCACCAACAACAAAACUCACAUUCUUUGUAGUUCUUUUUGUCCUCCUAAUGCAUCCCACUAGGCAUGUAUAGUCAGAAUAAUGGGUUCUUUAAAAAAAAUUCCUAAUUUUGUUGCACAAAAUUCUGUUGCACAAAAAUGUGGCUUGCUAUGUACACAAUUUUGAUCUAGGUAUGCAUGCUGUAGAUAUCAAUCCAUUGUAGUUCACAGAGUUCUUCCUUACUUGUUUUAUGUCUCCAUAGAACUCCAUUGUCUUAUUCCAGCAGAUCACUAUGGGUUGGCAUUUAAAGGAUUUUUUCAAAUUUAUUUAUUUGAGAGAGAUAAAGUGAGCAUGAGAGGAUGGGAAGAGAGGGAGAGGGAGAAGCAGACUCCCCAGGGAGCAGGGAGUCUGAUAUGGGGCUCAAUCCCAGGACCCCAGAAUCGUGACCUGAACCAAAGCAGAUGCUUAACGGACUAAGCCACCCAGGUGACACACUAUGGGUUGGGAUUUCGAUUGCUUCUGAUGUUUAACUAUUACCACAAUGAAUAAUUCCUGUGCCUAUGUUGUUUUGUGUUUUUAAAAGUGUAUCUUCAGGUCUAUCUUUCAAAUGAGAUUUCUCAAUUAAAGGAUAAAUAUCCAAAUUCCCUCUUUAUCUGAAUUGUAUUAUUUAAGACCCUGCCACUAAUAAAGAAAAAUGUCUACCUCCCUAUAUUCUCACCAACAGCGUCAAGUCCUCAGAUUCUUGCUUAUCUGGUAAGUGAGAAGUAACAGCUUCAGUUUGUAUUUCUCUUGUGAUAAAUAUGUGCAUAUUUUCUGUAGUCCAUGUCUAUGACUGAUUUCUCCAUUUUUUUCUUAGCUUUUAGAAGUGUUUUUGUAAAUCUCAUUGUCAAUAACACUUUAUAUAUAGGAUAGAUUAGCCCCUUCUCAGUGACAAACGUUUCCCCCUGCAGUUUAUCAGUUAUCUUUGCAUGUGAUUUUUCCUUAUUUGUUGUUGUUGUAUUAUACAAGUCUAUUUAUUUUUGUAUUGAAUUUAAUAAUCUUUUAUUUUAUUGAAUAAAAUAGUCACUCAUGGUCAUGGAGAUACUCAGCUCAGAUCUCCCUUAAGAAGAGCUA